rnacentral:lncRNA from 1 species
UGAAAGAAUCGAAGUUUUCCAUUAAAAACUGGUUUAAGUACAAGAGUCUGAAUCUAUGCAUAAAAGGUUUAAAUGAACUUGUCUUUGAAAAAGACACAGACUCCUGUUUCUCACUACAAUUUAAAAAGGAAACAAGAAAAUUUAUGCGCUACAGUGUAUAAAGCACUCGCCACACUAAUUAGUGAAAAGGCCUCAUACUAGCACAUCGUCAAAACAGACGCUGCAAGUGACAAAGAUCACCAAGUACACAAAUACAAGAUAAUCAAUGUCUCGUCCUAUGACGCUACAUGUAUAGAUGCAAAAUAUUCUAAGAAAUAUUUAUGAAAUAGAGUAGUGGAUACCAAUUGUUGAAAUCAAUUGAUAAAAAUUUUUUUUUGAAGAAACUCACCACUCCAGAACAUAAAUAUGAGACAGAAUAAAGAUUAUGUUGUCUCCCUUGUACUCAGAAUAUUAAACACCUAAAA